CCUACGGGACGCAGCAGUGGGGAAUAUUGCACAAUGGGGGAAACCCUGAUGCAGCGACGCCGCGUGAGUGAAGAAGUAUUUCGGUAUGUAAAGCUCUAUCAGCAGGAACGAGACAAGACGGUACCUGACUAAGAAGCCCCGGCUAACUACGUGCCAGCAGCCGCGGUAAUACGUAGGGGGCAAGCGUUAUCCGGAUUCACUGGGCGUAAAGGGAGCGCAGGCGGCACGGCAAGUCUGGUGUGAAAACCCGGGGCUCAACCCCGGGACUGCAUUGGAAACUGCCGGGCUAGAGUGUCGGAGGGGUA
rnacentral:rRNA from 1 species